GGACUUUAAAAAGGAAGCAGAAAGGCCAGGAGGACGAGCUUCACUGGAGGUGGGUAAGUUUUGUUUCAGACCUGUAGGGCUGAAAGUGUUGACGAACACCUGGGAGAAAAUGUCCAGUCACCGUCACUGCAAAUGCGGGUCCGACCUUCAGGAGAGGGAUUUGGACUGAAGAUGUGGGUAGGAGCACCCUCUCUUAGACAAGAAAAAUUGAGACUAAGAGGAGAUGAGAUCGCUGGGGGAUCAUAAUUAAGUAAAAACUUGUAUCUCUAAAAUCCGUCCUGACAUUUUCAUUUAUAGGAUAUACAUAUGUAUGUAUCUGUUAUAAUCUGAAAUGUGUCCCUCAAAAUUCAUAUUUGAAGCCCUAACCUCCUCAUACCUCAGACUGGGACUGUAUUUGGAGAUGAGGCCUUUAAAAAGAUAAUUAAGGUAAAACGAAGGCAUUAGAAUGGGCUCUAAUCCAAUAUGUCAGGAGUCCUUAUAGGAAGAGGAGAUGAGGACACAGACACCCACAGAGGGAAGACGGUGUGAGGACACAGGGAGAGGACACCAUCUGCAAGCCCAGGAGGGAGGCCUCAGGAGAAACCAAUCCCGCCCACACCUGGAUGUGGGGCUUCCAGCCCCCAGCACUGCGAGGGAAUAAAGCUCCGUUGUGUAAGCUGCCGCAUCUGUGGUAUUUUAUUAUGGCAGCCCCAGCUACUAAUACAGUACCCCUACCGAUACAUACAUAUUUACCCACAUGUAGCCACACACAUGUGCACAUAUGUAAUCUUUUUGCCUAUAAAAAAGUAAGCAAUGCCUAAAAGUACAGGUGGAGAGAAGGCUAAAAAGCACAGGCUCGAAGAGACUGCCAAGAUACAACGAUCCAACAAAGACACAUCGUAUCAACAGUAAUGAUUUCCUAAAUGUGAAGGUAAUUUGGAUGGCUGGUUUAUAGUUUUCAUGCCCGGGAGUUUUCCAAGGCACAAUGUAUACCCUUUGCGGCAGCUUACUCUCCUGAAAUGUGCCUUCAUGAAAUUAGAUAAACAGGGAGAAGAUAUGAAGUACAUCUGCCUAACACCACGUUAGAAGAAUCCCCGGGCAUUUGCAUCUUAUGCGAUGAUAUGCUGGCAAACCUUGGCCAACUUCCAGUCUUGUCCUUAUGACAGGGGACUGCUGUGUUGAGUUCCCGUCUCAGGCCUCACAUCCACCUUGGCCCUGCCUUGGGAGCCUGUAGGUGUGGGCAGAAAAGAGGGACGCUGCCUUCCUGGCUGGGCCUUUCUUCACACACAGGCACGAGGACCCAAGCUCUAAAGGAUGAAGUCCCCAUGGUCUCCGAAGUUUUCAUUAUCAUCCCCCUCCUAAAGCUCCACCUUGGAGGCAAUGCACUGUAACAAAAGGACCAGCACAGUGCCCAGCACACAGAAAGCUAUCAAUCAAUGUCAGCCUUAACCAUUAUGUUGGUUGACUUGCCAUCCCUCUUCCUCAACUGCAAACUAUGUGAGAGAAAGAUUCAUGUAACCUUGGUAUUACACAACUCCAUCGUGGUGGGUUCAGUUGCAUUUGUCAAAUGAUUCAGAGUAGGACAACGGGAAUUUUCUUUACAACAUCACAGCAUUGUAAAGUCUUUGCUUUGCACGAAAGUGUGGGACUGAAGAAAUGAUUGUGCAGGUUGAAACUGUGAAGCAAUUUUAAGAAGCAACAAGGAAAAUUAUGAUUGUUUCAUAAUCUUCAAAAAAUUUUUAAAGUGUUAAGAACUGUUUUACUACUGGUCGUAAAUGUAUAAGAACAUUUAAAGAUAGCAAAUUGAAUACUUAUUUAGCCUGUCAUAAUUUAAAAAAUGAGAAACAUUGAGAAAUAGUGUUUUAUUUCUUUGUAAAAGACUUAUGGAGAGUAAAUUGAAAAGGGCUUUGCCACCUUCUCAUUGUGAAACUUACAGUAUGGACCAGGCAUCUUUUCUAUGCCUUGGCAAAUUGUCACAUUCCUUUCUAUAUUUGGAUAGGCUUCCUACAUUUUGUCCUGCACACUUUCAGUGCUGUGAAAUAUCUCCAAGAGUUUCUUUAAUAUGAAGUUUUUGCCAGCAUCUUUAUCCUGAGUCCCUCAAAAGACACAUCCAGAAUCUCUCAAAAGACAACAGCAUCAACUUUCCCACCAUCAGCUCUUUCUUCUCUAAACUCGUUUACGUCUGAGUCAACUUUCACCUCCUGCAUUCUCACUUUUUGUUUCUUUGCUAUACUUUCCUCUUCAUUGGCUACCUACCUCUCUUGAGUAUUCAUUUCUGUGAAAUGUCACGUGGGUUUGUCACUGGGAGCCAAGAGAGCAGCACGACCACACGCUUUGCUGUCUGUGUGGGAACUGAUAACACGGAAGGACUGAAGGACGUGAUGCGGUUAAUCACUGAUCAUGAUGCACAUCUGUUAUUACGUGGUGGUCUGUGGACUGCAGAGCAAGCAGCAGAGGUUGUCCCCCAUGCAAUCACUCACAGUUAAUGGUGACUGAAAUUGGAACCAUGUUGUUAGGGGGCUGGUGUUAUUUAACCUCAGUUGCCACAGGGCAAUGAAAAUUCGUGCGUUUGGGAACUAUGCAAGGUGAGGACUGCCUGAAUGUUCCAUAAUGUGAUGAGUGCCUCACAAACAGGGUGUAUAUUAUCACUGAGUUUUUUCAUUAUUCUUGACCUUCAAUAUAUAGACAUUCUUGUUGAUGGUAUCAGGUUGUUUCUGCGUGAAUGAGCUUUACUCCUCUGAGAAAUGGCAUUCCUGACCCUCCUCUUUGAAUCAAUUGCACAAAAGUAUCUGAAGGAAAUUUGCUUACCUGCUGCUUUCUAUGGAAGCUUUCCUGCAGCAUGACCUAGUGUCUGUUUCUGGUUGAUGAUUAACCAUGGGGAACAAGCGUUUGAGAUAAAGAAGUUGCAGAACUUUUUAGAGAAUGUAAUAUGUUAAUGUGCACUGGGACUCUCCCUGAGCUAUAUCAAGUUUCCUGGAUUCUGAAAUGCUAUAAUUUUAAAAGUGUCAUAAGGUUAAAACAGCUUUCUAAGAAGUGCCUUUGUUGGAAGAAUACCCAGGAAUGGUGCGCUGGACAGCUUUUGUACAAGUCUUGCAUUUUCUCAGAACUAUCUCUCAUCUUGGCCAUGGCAUCAGUCACAUCCUGAGUGGCUCACCUUGACUUGGGUUGCCUCCUACUGCAGUUCUCCUAAACUCUGGUGGGGGACACGGGCACAACCCACCCAAUACUCGUAUGUGCUUUACCUGGAAAUAAGGAGCAGAGGAGCUAGGGGAAGGAGCCGAUGGCUAAAUGUUCCUGCCUUUUUUCCCUCAGGCAGACAGUUCUAAGGUGCACGCUGUAGGUUGCUGGGACAACCCUGGCAAGAUCUUCCCCCAGACAUCCACCUUGGCGGCCGACUUAUUAACUCAUUGGUCUAUUGACUUUUGCUCCUUGCCUCGCCCCUGAUCCCUGUGCCCUCUUUCUAAUAAGCUACCUGCUGGUGAGGCUCUGCCUUGGGGGAAACCCAGGCUGAGGCAGGUGGGAUGUUAUAACCAGGGAGGCCUGAGUCCUGGGUCUUUGCCUGGGGUCCCCAAAUAGGAGAGGGAUUGGAGGAGGUAUUGUGGGGGAGAGUGUUGCAAAAGCCCAGAGGAAAGGAGUGCUGUUACCACAACAGAGGAGACAUGAACCUGCACAGACCAAAAACAGGAGAGAGAGAGGGAAAGAGAAAGAGAAGGGGGAGAAAGAAAGGGAGAGACAGAGGAAGGGAGAGAUGGGGAAAGAGGAGAGGAGAAAGGGAGGGAGAGAAAGAAAGGAGAUGGAGAGAGAAAAGGGUGGGGAGAGAGAUAAAGAGAGAGGUAAAGAGAGAGAGAGAAUCAUCUACUACAUGAUUUCUUUUUUUUUUUUUUCUGAGAUGGAGUUUCGCUCUUGUUGCCCAGGCUGGAGUGCAGUGGCGUGAUCUCGGCUCACUGCAACCUCCAUCUCCCGGGUUCAAGCGAUUCUCCUACCUCAGCUUCCUGAGUAGCUGGGAUUACAGGUGCCUGCCACCACGCCCAGCUAAUUUUUGUAUUUUUGGUAGAGACGGGGUUUCACCGUGUUGACCAGGCUGGUCUCGAACUCCUGACCUCAGGUGAUCCGCCCGCCUCGGCCUCCCAAAGUGCUGGGAUUACAGGUGUGAGCCACCGCGCCUGGCCAUGAUUUUUUUUUUAACCUAUAAAAGCCUUGAGUAGUGAUGGACGCGAUUCCUAGUAAUGUGGUUUACUAAAGGGUCAGGCUGUCAGUUCACCACAAAUACGCCACAGUAGUGUUUGGUAUUCUCUCAAUGUUCCACCCACCAGAGCAUACAAAACAGCCACAUUCCCCAAACACUUAAUUCUCAAAACAUACUUGUAGAGGAGGGAAGCCUAUUACUCCCAUUAGAAAGAUGGAAAACCAAGGUGAAAUGAUUAACUGAGCUACCAGGGCCUCAGAAGAAAGUCGCUGCUGAGUUUGGGAUUGUGUUUUCAACUUCCUGCCCACUGUGGGUGAGCUCCACCUUUUACUGGAACCAACUCCAAGGAGGAAGUUUUGCUGGGUUUCCUGGAAGGCAGAGGUUUGCAUCUGCAUGCCCUGCGUGGAGGCAUUGUAUUUGGGGGCAGGCAGGAGAAUACUGUAGCUGGUGUGCCCACAGAAAGGGAGGGAGAGAAGCCACUGGGAGUGAGCUGGGCUUGGGAUCGGGCUGUGUCCUCACCAACUGUCUGCCCAGGCAUGAACUUGCCACUGCUGUGGAAGAGUCUGACUGCAUCCAAGAAUGCCAAAGGUUGUGGCUGAACUCACUUCUCAACAGACUUGGAUCAUGUUCAUAUACUAUUCUUUAAAAGAUCACCAUUUGUAGUAGAAUGUCAAAAACCCAAAGAUGUUGCUCCCGAUGUUGAGCUGUAACUAUUUUCUGUGUUGGUGGAAAAAUAUGAGAGAAUUAGUUGCCAUUCAUGAAUCUCAGUGAUACACAGACAAAAGCAUGCUUCAAUUUUGUUUCUUUGUUUUUGAGUGGUUCUGAUUUAUUUUCAGCUUUUGGGUGAUGUCUGGGGCUGUUUAUUGAGGACGGGAUAAAUGGGGGGGGGACCAAAAUAUAUUUGGCAUUUAUUGGUGGUGUUUUAUAUUUGUGACUUGAUUUACUUCUUAUCACAACCCAGUGAGACACGUACUAUUAUCAUCCUUUUAAUAGAUGAGCAGCCUGGAGCUUAGAGAGGUUAGGUAGCAUGGACAUCAUCAGGCAAGUUAAAUGAGAAAGCCGCCACCCAUUCCCAGCUGGGGCUGACCCCAGCGCCUGUGUUAUUUCUGUUGCCCUGAGCCUCCCCAGGCUUCUUAACCCACAUGUACUCCUAGCUUCCAGCAGUGCUAAUUUACACCGUGUACCAGCUGGAGACAUUCUGGAGUGUAGACUGACGCAAUAAUCCCCAAUGAUAGGUUUGCCAUGUUUUUUUUAAAUGUGUUUUUUCCUACUUUUUAUUAUAGAUGUCAGAAUUUUCUCCUUCCCUGAGUUAUCUUUGGACUUAGAUGUAUAUAAAUGUAUCUGGUUGGAGGUGGGGGGAAAAGUGGAAGUGGAAGACCACAAAAGUAAAAAUUACAUUUGAGUGUAUUUCACCGAUUCUAAGAGGAAUGCUUUCUUCUGCUCCAACCACUCUGAAAUCUCCGGGUCCCAUACUCCCAUCGCAGCUGUGUGACAUGGUUGCCGUGGCCUUUGUGUGAACAUCAAAGCUCAGAGGAUGGGUGUCAGAGGCUUAGAUGAAAAUCCUGAAGACAAUUGUCUGGCACUUUUCAAAGCUAUACGGCCUCACCAAAACCCUCCUGGAAGCUCUUGAUGGCUCGAGGUUCAACAGUGUCUGGGAAGACAUGGAUAUAAAAGAUCCAGAAUCAAAGAGUGAUUCCAAAGAGUUAGAGGCUGACUGUGAAGUCUUAGGCAUACUGUAACCCAGUGAUUUACCUAUCUUUGCUUUUCUGCUCAUGCAGAAGAGUGAUAUAUGAUGAAUAAAUUCUAAGUUCAAUUAGGCCUAAAAGAGCUCUUGUAAUAUGCUUUAAAAAGUCUAAGUGAUAAAACAUUGUGACAGAUAGAGUUCUGUCAGUGUUUAUAUUUUCUUAGUCCUUCAUUAAAUAACAGUGUGUCUUACACCAAGGCAGUUUUGGAUUCCAUAAAAUAUGGUAGUAGUUAUGUUUCAUGUUUCAAUAGUCAUCAAUCUGUUUUUAAUGUAUUCAUGGAAAAAUAUGUGGGCCAUCUUGCUAUUUAACUAUUUUUGAAAUCUCAUGGAAGCCUGCCAAUGUUUUUGCAAUUUAGCUAAGAAGCUGUCUUGCUUUUUGAGAGGGGAAGUUCCAAUAUUGUAAGCCUAGGUUUCUGAAUAUAUUUUUGUUUUUUAAUAAAUGUAGAAAGAAUGUUUUUUGUUAAUCCUGGCAUUUGUCUAGAGCAAAAGCAAAAUAAAUGAAAAGUGAGGAAAAUUAAAAGGCUCACGUUAUAACAUGUGCUGUCUAGAGAAUAAAAACUCAUUUGUGCAAAGUUGGUAUGGCUUUUAUGAAAAUAUUUCAGUCCGAGCACCUUGCCUGUUUGCUGCAGUGCUGACUGACUCAUGAUUAGGGAUCUGUGUUGCCUUUAUUGCUCUCGGUUUGCCCUAUGGCUUGAUUUAUUAAUAUAUUUAAAUAUACAAUUUUAACCUUA
rnacentral:lncRNA from 1 species